rnacentral:rRNA from 1 species
CACGGGUGCGUAACGCGUGGGAAUCUGCCCUUGGGUUCGGAAUAACAGCUAGAAAUGGCUGCUAAUACCGGAUGAUGACGUAAGUCCAAAGAUUUAUCGCCCAGGGAUGAGCCCGCGUAGGAUUAGCUAGUUGGUGGGGUAAAGGCCUACCAAGGCGACGAUCCUUAGCUGGUCUGAGAGGAUGAUCAGCCACACUGGGACUGAGACACGGCCCAGACUCCUACGGGAGGCAGCAGUGGGGAAUAUUGGACAAUGGGCGAAAGCCUGAUCCAGCAAUGCCGCGUGAGUGAUGAAGGCCUUAGGGUUGUAAAGCUCUUUUACCCGGGAUGAUAAUGACAGUACCGGGAGAAUAAGCUCCGGCUAACUCCGUGCCAGCAGCCGCGGUAAU